GGCUAUGUAGCUCAGUUGGUUAGAGCACCGCACUCAUAAUGCGGGGGUCACAGGUUCGAAUCCCGUCAUAGCCACCA
rnacentral:tRNA from 1 species